AAAUCUGCUUUUUGUUUCCUCAGCUUCGUCUCUUUCAGAUGGCAAGAAUCCUGCAAAAGUGAUAACUUUAACCACAAACUACACCAGUGCUGGACAGACUAUGAAAGAUAAAAAUGUGUGCAGCCAAUGCUUCAAACCAUUUAACACGCCCCAAAAAUGAUCUUGGAGGACUUGGACAUUAACUGCCACGCGUCAUGCCUUAAGUGUCAAAUUUGCCACCAAUCGCUUGAAAACCUGAAUGCCGGAGACAACAUCUGGGUUCACCAUCACACCGUGCAUUGCGAGAAGUGCUACGAUAAAGUAAAAGUGCAACUUGGGUACUAAAUGGACCCUCGGAAAGAUUUUCAAUUGAACAACGACCUCUCUAUGGUUUGGGAUCUAUUGGGGAUUGGACAACAUAUUUACAAUACAUUUUAAACUUUAGAAGCUAUCUCAUACAAAUUAUAUUGCCUUUCUCUAAUUGUAAUUUCUGGAGUCUAUUUUAAAAUACUGUAUCUCUAAAAUCUCCUCAUGUUAUGUACUAUGGGUCAAGUUGAUGAAAAGAACCUGUGUUAUGUGAACUUGAAAGCAUUACUUCUGGUGAAGGUGAAUAGCUGCCAUGAAAUAAUUUCUUUAAUUGCUUAAUGUAUAUUUAAAUAGGAAUAAUAAGAUCUAAUAGACUUUAUUUCUCAAAACAAUACUUAUCAGUUUAUGCUAUUGCAAAUCAAUAACUACUGUGUUCAUUUUGCUUUACCCUUUAUCCAAAGAAUAAUAUGCCCCCCCCAAUAUAAAAGGAUAAAUAACUGAUUAAAAUACAUCAAUAGAACAAAGAACCUCCAUUUAAUACAAACCUGCAAUGCAGAUUUUUUCAGGUUUCUAAUAUAUAAUUACAGGACUAAAGAAAAACCCAGACAUACAUUAAAGUUUUAACGGUGUAUUAGUAAGAGUUCAGAUCUUGAAGCAGCAUCUUAAACCACUGUGCUGCAGAAAUCUUCUACUUGCAUGGCUAAAUUUGGCAAUAUUCUUAAAAAUUGAAAAUGUUCAAUAAAAGUAGUAUUCAUUGACUAAUCGUGCUACACAGUAUCAUUGGUGCACUGCUAAAUGUGUCAUGCACUGUCCUACUUAAUAUGACAAUACUCUUUCUUUAAAGGCUGGCAUUGUCAUUGGAACUAAUUUCUUUGCUAAGCUUUACAGAGGUUUAUAUUUCUAUAUGGUACAGAAAAUGUGUAUAUAUCAUUUUCUUUUUAUUUCAAUUAUUACAGUUAUCUUUGCAACAAAUGAGUGGCCAGAUUUUUCUAUUAAUGCACAGUAAUAGUUUUUAUGGCUGAUUAUAACAACCGAGGCAUUUACAAGAUCAUUCAAACAUGUGCACACGCUAAUGUGUCCAAGUUGUGGAUUUUUCUGAUGGUAGAAAGAAAUAAUCAGGCAUUUUUCCAAGUCUAACCCACCAGCUGGAUAGCAGUGACAAAAAUGAUCUUAGUUGAAUUCAGCUUCAGUUUAUACUUGUCACAUUGGUGUUGUAACAUUAGAAUAAAGGGAAAAAAACAUUGUUCUACUGCUAGUAAAAACUACUUCUGAAUAUUACCUACAGAAAAAAUAUGGCCCACUUAGUCUUAAUAUGUUGAAAGAUAGUUUCAUUUUUUUAAUGUAUAAAAAUGUGGUUUAAGUUGGCUGGGAUUCAAAAAGAAAUUGGAAUUGGGCAGAUUUAAUGGCAUUCUUGGCUACCAUAUGCAUGUUUCACUAUCUUUAAAUGUGCCUCCUUAUUUACUUGCCAGAGUGCUGAUCCAUUGUGCUCAAUUGAUAUUUAGUUAAUUUAUUGACAAUGUAGGUUUCAAAAUCAGAUCUCAUGAAAAACCACGAGGACACAUGCUUUUAUGAAACUUUGAAAGCAGAACAUAUUUUAAGUUCUCAGUAUCUCUAAUGAUUGACCAUAAAUUUGGAUUAUAGAGACAACUGUACUGCAAAAAAAACAUUGUUUACUCUAAUGGAUCUAAGCAAUCAACUUAUCUGAGGCAAUCAACAAUAUGAUCUCCCACAUGGAAUGAUAUUUUGUAACUGAGAAAUAUUGAAACUCCUGUGUUAUGCAUUAGUGCAUGAAUAUACAGUAAGAAGUAUUGCUGACACAGAGGUAUUUUGUUGACAAUAUUGUGCUAAUAAAAAGAACUAAGCAAAAUAAUAAGGUUUUACUCUUAAUUAGGUGUGUGUUGAAUUUGUAAUUUGGAACCCAUUGCUUUUAUUUCACAU